CCCUGAGAGUCCUGAAGGAACGUUGAAGACGACGACGUUGAUAGGCCGGGUGUGUAAGCGCAGCGAUGCGUUGAGCUAACCGGUACUAAUGAACCGUGAGGCUUAACCUUACAACGCCGAAGCUGUU
rnacentral:rRNA from 1 species